rnacentral:rRNA from 1 species
UACGGAGGGUGCGAGCGUUGUCCGGAUUUAUUGGGUUUAAAGGGUGCGUAGGUGGCUUUAUAAGUCAGUGGUGAAAUACAGCCGCUUAACGGUUGAGGUGCCAUUGAUACUGUAGAGCUUGAAACAAUUGGAGGCUGCCGGAAUGGAUGGUGUAGCGGUGAAAUGCAUAGAUAUCAUCCAGAACACCGAUUGCGAAGGCAGGUGGCUACGUUUGAUUUGACACUGAGGCACGAAAGCAUGGGGAGCAAACAGG